CCCUUAGAUGUCCGGGGCUGCACGCGCGCUACACUGAAGGAAUCAGCGUGCUAAAACCAUUGUCGAAAGGCAUUGGUAAACCCAUUAAAAUCCUACGUGAUUGGGAUCGGGAAUUGCAAUUAUUUCCCUUGAACGAGGAAUUCCCAGUAAGUGUGGGUUAUAAGCUCGCGUUGAUUACGUCCCUGCCCUUUGUACACACCGCCCGUCGCUGCCCGGGACUGAGCCGUUUCGAGAAAAGCGGGGACUGCUGCUGUCGGGGCUUUCGGGCCUUGGCUUCGGUGGAAACCGCUUUAAUCGCAGUGGCUUGAACCGGGCAAAAGUCGUAACA
rnacentral:rRNA from 1 species